ACAACUUUCAACAACGGAUCUCUUGGCUCUCCCAUCGAUGAAGAACGCAGCGAAAUGCGAUAAGUAAUGUGAAUUGCAGAAUUCAGUGAAUCAUCGAAUCUUUGAACGCACCUUGCGCCCUUUGGUAUUCCGAAGGGCAUGCCUGUUUGAGUGUCAUUAA
rnacentral:rRNA from 6 species